CCGAUGUAAAGCCGUCGCAGAUGGACGUGGACACAGCAAUGAAAACAGCGUUAUUUCACGCCCCGUCUGAUCG
rnacentral:snoRNA from 1 species